rnacentral:misc_RNA from 1 species
ACUGCCAGAUAUUCUCAAACGUGGAAUCCUGACACCGUCCUCUCAUAUUUUGAUUCCACAGCUGGGGCGACUCUUUCUCUCCUUGAACUGUCUCGGAAAUUAGUCACUUUAUUGGCUCUCUGUACGCUUUUAAGAACAUGUGAACUUUCUUCAAUAUCGUUGGAAUCGAUCGUCAUUUCCGAUUCUAAAAUGUCUUUUUCCCUGAGCCAACCAAGAAAGGCUCAACACUCCGGACCCCUUCAUCGAAUUUCCGUCGACGCCUGGCGUCUUAAUGUUUCAAUUUGUCCUGUCAAAUGCUUGGAAACUUAUUUAGACCGUACUGCGGCGUUGCGCGAUACCACAAACUCCUCCUCUCUCUUGCUCAGCAGCAACAAACCCCAUGGCCCGGCCUCUGUAGCUACAAUCGGCCGUUGGAUUAAAGAGCAACUCAAAAUAGCCGGUAUCGACACGUCUAUCUUCUCAGCACACUCGACUAGAGGGGCAGCAGCAUCCAAAGCGGUCUUAUCUGGUAUACCGAUUCAAACUGUCUUAGACGCCGGCCAUUGGGCCAGGGAGUCUACGUUCAAACAGUUCUACCACAGGGAGGUGGUCAAUGGACCAACCAACCUGAUCACUAGUUCCGUCCUUCAACCACCAUCAAUUUAAACGCCGGUUAACCCUCUGCUGUGCUGUGGUUUUCUCGCCCUUCUUUUCUGGAUACAAUAACGGUUACCGCGGCCGGAAGAAGGGACGAGACAACAACAACAAUUCAGGCAACUUCAAUAACAACGACUCAAGUUUCAACAAGAAGUGAUCAUGUUUACCUUCGUCGUUGUACCUCCUCCGUGUGGC